ACGUGUGCGCGAGUCGUUGGGACUACGCGAUAUUAAUCCCGUGGGCGCAAUGAGAGUGAAAGGCGGGCCGGCCCCGGCCGGCCCGCCCCAGGGAAGACGGGGCCGUCGCUCUUCGGAGCGCGGUCUCUGCACUCCCGGGGCGUCUCGAUCUCUCCGCAAGGCGAGGCGAGGCGCACCCAGAGCGUACACGUUGGGACCCGAAAGAUGGUGAACUAUGCCUGGCCAGGACGAAGUCAGGGGAAACCCUGAUGGAGGUCCGCAGCGAUUCUGACGUGCAAAUCGAUCGUCUGAGCUGGGUAUAGGGGCGAAAGACUAAUCGAACCAUCUAGUAGCUGGUUCCCUCCGAAGUUUCCCUCAGGAUAGCUGGCGCUCAGGACUACUGAGUCUCAUGCGGUAAAGCGAAUGAUUAGAGGCCUUGGGGCCGAAACGACCUCAACCUAUUCUCAA
rnacentral:rRNA from 1 species